ACGGGAGGCAGCAGCUAAGAAUAUUCCGCAAUGGACGGAAGUCUGACGGAGCGACGCCGCGUGGAUGAUGAAGGCCGGAAGGUUGUAAAAUCCUUUUAUGACUGAGGAAUAAGUAUGGUGAGAGAAACGCCAUAUGGUGGCUGUAGGUCAUGAAUAAGCAACGGCUAAUUACGUGCCAGCAGCCGCGGUAACACGUAAGUUGCGAGCGUUGUUCGGAAUUAUUGGGCGUAAAGGGCAUGUAGGCGGUUUUGCAAGCUUGGUGUGAAAUCCCGGAGCUUAACUCCGGAAUUGCGUUGAGAACUGCAUAACUAGAGUCACUGAGGGGCAAUCAGAAUUCCAGGUGUAGGGGUGAAAUCUGUAGAUAUCUGGAAGAAUACCAAUGGCGAAGGCAGGUUACCAGCAGAUGACUGACGCUGAGGUGCGAAGGUGCGGGGAGCAAACAGGAUUAGAUACCCUGGUA
rnacentral:rRNA from 1 species